UUUCUUUGGCUUUCAUCCCCAUGUUCCCACGUAUGGUUCCUAGGGUUGUGGGCAGUUUGUUUCUGUCGGUUCACCCCACUAUCCUUUUUCUCCUCCUAAAUCAUUGGUACUACAACCGCACCUCCUGUAGGUUAUUUAUAGAUCGUCCCCAAACCUUCCAUUCCCAUUCUCAGAUUUACAUUCUUCAAUUAUUCCCCGCUAUUCAAAAUACAUCCAACUUUACGAGCCAGUGGAGUAGUUCGAUUUCAUCAACAAUCCAUUGGAGGAGCCGUACCAACAACCGAUUGGUAAACCCUUACCUAUUUUCUCAUCUUCUCCGUUCAAUCUCCGGUUGGUUUCCGUUAUAAUACAAAUCACCAAACAAACAAACAAACCCUUCCUUUCAUCUCUCCAGCGACAAAUAAACCAACAUGGGCAGUUCCAUAUGAAGCCGCGUUGGAAGAUGAAAUUGCAGAGAGAACAUCUAAUUGUUGAAGUUUCAUCUCAUCUCACCUCUAUAGAUAAAUGAGAUAACCAGAUAAUCAUUGCCAAUUUCUUUUCAAGGACACCACCGCCUCCCAACUGUGAGAUCGAACAAAGUUAAGGUUACAUCUACAACAGUAUCACCUAGCCCUUGAAUUCAAGAUGGGAUUUUAUGGUCAUCAAAGGAGGUACCGUGCAUAGAAGAAUUCCCCUUGUCUGUAGCCAACCCAUGUGGACGAACCAAGUGGGGGCACAUCUAAGUGGAUAUGUUGGUGAAGAUCCUCUUGCAAUAAAAAAUAAUCUUAUGCCUUUUGUCCAGAAUCGCCGUUGACAGGGUUCUGCACUCAAAAGUAUUCUCAACCAAAGAUGGAACAUGGGUACGUGAUUACAUAUAUGUUGCAGAUUUUAGCUAAUGGGCAUGCAUUUAAAAAAAGGGUAAUUGAACGGUACCCCCGAUCGCGGGAGGGUUCUCCCUCCCGAGCACGAUAGCCCCAUACCUAACUGGCGGUGAAUCCCCAGCCAUCGAGUGGACCAUAGGUUUUUUGGUAAUCGACCGGAGUAGAACCCGGGUCCCCACGAUUUGUGUGGGUGAGGCUGGCUACUGGGCUGACACCCAGUGGUUAUAUGGCUACAUUUAGAAAACUCACAGUCCUGAAAUAGAUAUGUAUUCUUUUGUCAUGUUUGAUUAUUUCAUAUAUAUUAUAUUAAUAUUUACUAGACACAAUUACAAAUAAUCACAACUAUGUGGCAAAUUGUAGUUAAUUAAAUGAUAUGCAUGUCAUUAUUUUGGAUUUUGCUGCCAUGAGGAUAAAAAAUAAGAAGAAUCUACUUCUAUCUUAUUUACGAUAUUUUUAAUAUAAAAUUUUAAAUGGGCCAAACAUUGGAGCAACUGUAAGGUUAUUAGUAUGAGACCUGGAGGUCAUGGGCUUGACUCAUGGAAAGUGCAAAAUUUUUGAUUUCUCGUCGAAAAUUUUAAAGGAUCCCUCAAUUAUUGUCUAAAUAUUUAUACAAUAUAUAAAUUGGGUCCCAUGACUUUCUGCCCCCCGAAACUGUUGGUCAAGCUCCGCCACUGAUUAUAAAGUAGUUUUAGAUACAGUGAUUGACUCAGAUGGAUGGCCAAGAAGUAAGAACCGGUGAUCUUUGUUACUUUGACAAUGAAGGAUUCCUGUUCGUUAUGGAUCGGUUGAAAGAGCUGAUCAAGUAUAAAGGUUACUAGGUACCACCAGCCGAAUUGGAACACAUUUAUACAACCGCAUCAAUCUGCAGUGAUUCCGUAUGCAUUUCACCUUUUAAUCAGAAGUCGCAAUUUCAUCUUAAUUCAGAUUUAAACAUGUACAUGGGUUAAAUUGUUACACGGGUGAUGGAUAGGCCAAUCACUAUAUAGCCAAAUAUGUGGAUCGAGUUUAAUAUAGAGUUUCUUGAAUAUCUUUUUUCGACAAUAAUCCCUUAAUCCCUCUUUUGUAUAUAGUUUUUUCUAUUCUUUGAUUGUAUUUAAAUGUUUCAAUGUUGGGUAUAAAAUUUCGUUGUGUUUUUAUUCUUUUAUAUUUAAAUAAAGAUGGUUAUGAAAUUAAACUUCCCGACUAGCGGACGGGUAUAAAACUAAAAAGUUAUAUGAAAAGGGUCAAGUUAAAUGAGCUGUGCUUUUAUCUUAAACAUAAACUAUUUUGGUUUAGAAUCCAAAGAAAGAUAAUUUUGCCAUUAAUACAUUAAAAUACCCGUCUAUCGGAUUAUGACAUUUCUCAGUCUCCCCUAAGAAACGAUCCCAAAGAUACACCAAAUUUGUCAGAUGCGGACCAGACGACAACUCAGCAAGAAGAAAAUAUGUCAUCGGUGGUUGAUAAUUUGGAACAUGAGGUCGACGCUGACAUUUCUAAAUGUUACCAGGUAGAUGAUGCUAGAUGUACACUAAAUUCAUCAGAUGUCCACAAUCCAACAAGUCAGCAAGAAUUUGUUGCCUCAGUAGACGUAGACGAUGUAAAAAAUACACCAAAUUUGACAAAUGGGCACCAUGCAUCAACUCAACAAGUCGAAAAGAGGCUAUCUUUGAGGUUGAAGAGGACGAUCCAAAAGCCGAAAAAAUUGAGGCAAUAAACCACGUUUGAUUGUUUAUAACACUUUCCCUCAGUGCUGCCUACCAUUUACUUUUGCAUUAAAAUGACAGUAUUUCAUGUUUUAUCUCUCUAUCAGUUUUAUUUUAUACUGUUUGUGGUUGUACACUGUUCACGUAGGUUUUCCUUUUAUAAAUUAAAAAUGGUGCUUUUGUUUAUAA